rnacentral:sRNA from 1 species
CUCAUUUUCCCGAUAGGAAGGAUGAGAAGCUUCGACACGAAGGUUUGUGCCGAACGCAGUGAGACAACGCCAGUCAUGGCGGCCCGCAGGGCAAGGCGCGCAGCGACGCAGUCAUCCUUCCCCCACCACCA